rnacentral:rRNA from 1 species
UGAAUACGAGAUGCUACGGCGUCGAAGCAGUCUAUGUCAUACUUCCAAGAAAAGCUUGCACUGUCAUAAACAAAUAAUGCCUGUACCAUAACCGACACAGGUGGGUAGGUAGAGUAUACUAAGGGGCGCGAGAUAACUCUCUCUAAGGAACUCGGCAAAAUGACUCCGUAACUUCGGGAGAAGGAGUGCCUUAUUUAUAAGGUUGCAAUAACAAGAUCCAAGCAACUGUUUACCAAAAACACAGGUCUCCGCUAAGUCGUAAGACGAUGUAUGGGGGCUGACGCCUGCCCAGUGCCAGAAGGUUAAAGAAGUUGGUUAGCAUCCGCGAAGCUGAUAACUGAAGCCCUGGUGAACGGCGGCCGUAACAAUAACGGUCCUAAGGUAGCGAAAUUCCUUGUCGGGUAAGUUCCGACCCGCACGAAAGGCGUAAUGAUUUGGAUACUGUCUCGGAGAGGGGCUCGGUGAAAUAGACUUGUCUGUGAAGAUGCGGACUACCUGCACCAGGACAGAAAGACCCUAUGAAGCUUUACUGUAACCUGAAAUUGAAAUUGGACUUUACUUGCGCAGUAUAGGUGGGAGGCGUUGAGAAUAUUCUUGCGGGAUUAUUGGAGCCAUCAGUGAGAUACCACUCUUGUAAUGUUAGAUUUCUAACUUUGUAUCAUUAUCUGGUCAAAGAACAGUUUCAGGCGGGCAGUUUGACUGGGGCGGUCGCCUCCUAAACGGUAACGGAGGCGCACAAAGGUUUCCUCUGAACGGGUAGAAAUCGUAUCUAGAGUGUAAAGGCAUAAGGAAGCUUGACUGUGAGACCUACAAGUCGAGCAGGGACGAAAGUCGGUCUUAGUGAUCUGACGGUGCUGAGUGGAAAGGCCGUCACUCAACGGAUAAAAGUUACUCUAAGGAUAACAGGCUGAUCUCCCCCAAGAGUUCACAUCGACGGGGAGGUUUGGCACCUCGAUGUCGGCUCAUCGCAUCCUGGGGCGGUAGUACGUCCCAAGGGUUGGGCUGUUCGCCCAUGAAAGCGGUACGCGAGCUGGGUUCAGAACGUCGUGAGACAGUUCGGUCCAUAUCCGGUGUAGGCGUUAGAAUAUUGAGAGGAGCCUUCUUUAGUACGAGAGGACCGAGAAGGACAUACCUCUGGUGUACCAGUUAUCGUGCCAACGGCAAACGCUGGGUAGCUAUGUGUGGAGUGGAUAACCGCUGAAAGCAUCUAAGUGGGAAGCCCACCUCAAGAUGAUUGCUCUCACAGGGUUAACCUGGUAAGGUCACGGGAAGACCACCCGUUGAUAGGCACUCGGUGGAAG